rnacentral:rRNA from 1 species
UAACUAGGCAGAGGAAAAGUAACUAACAAGGAUUGACUCAGUAAGGGCGACUGAAGCAUCAAAAGCUCACCAUGUGAAUCUGCACAAUUGAGUGCUGAGUUGUGGUUUGGAGACUCUUGCAAUCUUGGGCUGAGCCAAGUUGUUUGGAAUGGGGCAGUUCAUAGGGUGAAACUCCCGUAUGCCUGGCCUUGGGAGCAAGUGUCACAGAGUCGAGUUGUUUGGGAUUGCAGCUCUAAGAGGGUGGUAAAUUCCAUCAAAAGCAAAAUAUUGGUGGAGGACCGAUAGCAAACAAGUACCGUGAGGGAAAGAUGCAAAGAACUUUGAAAAGAGAGUUAAAGAGUACCUGAAAUUGCUGAAAAGGAAGCAAAGGAAACCAGUGCUUGUUGUGCCAUACUUCCCUGUUUGCUUGCAGUUAGGGCGUUGUGGCUGACAUAGUCUCUGUCAAUUGACUCGGACGGAAGUGCAAUGAAAGGAGAAAGCCUUUGUUGUUUGAAUCCUGGUUGACUGAUGGUGACAAAAUGGUUUUCUUUUCCCCGUCUAGAAACACGGACCAAGGAGUCUAACAUUUGUGCGAGUACUGGAGUAUGAAGCUCUUGUGCGCAAUGAAAGUAACAGUGGCUGGAAUAUUUUGCACAGUCUGCCGGCCUCAAUCCCUUGGGAGAACGGUCUGAGUGUGAGCAUACAUGUUGGGACCCGAAAGAUGGUGAACUAUGCUUGAGUAGGGUGAAGCCAGGGGAAACUCUGGUGGAGGCUCGUAGCGAUUCUGACGUGCAAAUCGAUCGUCAAACUUGAGUAUAGGGGCGAAAGACUAAUCGAACCAUCUAGUAGCUGGUCCCCUCCGAAAUUUCCCUUAGGAUAGCUGCAAUCGAUGACCAAUUUUGUCAGGUAAAGCGA